ACAGGGGAGAUUGACCAAAUCCAUCCAAAAGGUAAGUAUAUGCUGCGCAGUCUGCAUUGCAAUGGCAUCCUUUUCCUCUAGCCUUGACAUUUGCACAGUUAGUAAAUAGGCAUCGUUCUACAUCUCCAAAAUGACCUCUAGGAGAAGUUACAACAUCAAUGACUUCAAGAUCCUCGAGAAACUUCCUUUCAGAAUUUGAACAUGACAAACAAACAUCACAAGAAGAAACAAUUACAACACCAAGAUGCAUAAUCCAGUUCUUCUUUCACCGACUCAACUCCUCGUAAAAAACUAGAAAAAUUGUGCUUCAAUAAAAGUAACACACAACACAAGUCUUUGAACAUCACAAACAAACAUCACCAGAAGAAACAAUUAUAACACCAAGAUGCAUAAUCCAGUUCUUCUUUCACCAACUCAACUCCUCGUAAAAAAAUAGAAAAAUUGUGCUUCAAUAAAGGUAACACACAACACAAGUCUUUGAACAUCACAAACAAACAUCACCAGAAGAAACAAUUAUAACACCAAGAUGCAUAAUCCAGUUCUUCUUUCACCAACUCAACUCCUCGUAAAAAAAUAGAAAAAUUGUGCUUCAAUAAAAGUAACACGCAACACAAGUCUUUGAACAUCACAAACAAACAUCACCAGAAGAAACAAUUAUAACACCAAGAUGCAUAAUCCAGUUCUUCUUUCACCGACUCAACUCCUCAUAAAAAACUAGAAAAAUUGUGCCUCAAUAAAGGUAGCACACAACGCAAGUCUUUGACAUUGACAGUUCCAUGUAAUAGCCACAGCAAUUACCGAGAAAACAGUACAUGGGCUAAGAUAUUCAAAGUUUAAGCCGAUAACCUGAAGAAAGCUUUCUGGACUGAAGUUCCUAUGUCACCAGCUGCAUAUGCUUCAUGCUUACACACUUGUUGAUGGAGAUACUUGGCACAGAACUUAGCAACAACUUUACCUGAAAUAUGGUAAUCAUACUAGAAGUUCCAUAAAUCUAAUUCCCUGUUUUUCCCCCUUCAAUUACAGUUUACUUAAUAUAGUCAGGCACUAGCAUAUAGUGUCAUCUACUUAAUUAGUAGCAUCAGAUGUCAAAGCUUUCGACUAAAAACCAAUUUCAGAAUCCUAGGAAGCUGAAAGCU
rnacentral:lncRNA from 1 species